UACGAAGGGGGCUAGCGUUGCUCGGAAUCACUGGGCGUAAAGGGUGCGUAGGCGGGUCUUUAAGUCGGGGGUGAAAUCCUGGAGCUCAACUCCAGAACUGCCUUUGAUACUGAAGAUCUUGAGUUCGGGAGAGGUGAGUGGAACUGCGAGUGUAGAGGUGAAAUUCGUAGAUAUUCGCAAGAACACCAGUGGCGAAGGCGGCUCACUGGCCCGAUACUGACGCUGAGGCACGAAAGCGUGGUGAGCAAACAGG
rnacentral:rRNA from 1 species